AUUGAACGCUAGCGGGAUGCUUUACACAUGCAAGUCGAACGGAGUGGCGGACGGGUGAGUAAUAUAUCGGCACGUGCCCAGUAGCGGGGGAUAACUACUCGAGAGAGUGGCUAAUACCGCCUACUCUUGGAGCGGCCGAUAUCGGAUGAGCUAGUUGGUGGGGUAACGGCUCACCAAGGCAACGAUGCGUAGCUGGUUGGAGAGGACGACCAGUAACCCGGUGACUGAGACACGGCACAGAAUCCUACGGUAGGCAGCAGUGGGGAAUUUUGGAAAAGGGGGGAGACCCUGAUCCAGCCAUCCCGCGUGUAUGAUGAAGGCCCUCGGGGUGUAAAGUACUUUUGGCAGAGAAGCGGUAUCUGCAGAAUAAGCACCGGCUAACUACGUGCCAGCAGCCGCGGUAAUAC
rnacentral:rRNA from 1 species